GGGGUUGUGGCUCAGAGGUACAGCACUCGCCUAGCAAGCGUGAGGCCCUAGGUUCCAUCCUCAACACCA
rnacentral:tRNA from 1 species